rnacentral:rRNA from 1 species
UACGGGGGGGGCAAGCGUUGUUCGGAAUUACUGGGCGUAAAGGGCGCGUAGGCGGAAUGGCAAGUCGGUCGUGAAAUCCUUCGGCUCAACCGAAGAACGUCGAUCGAAACUGCCGUUCUUGAGGAUUGCAGAGGAGACUGGAAUUCCCGGUGUAGCGGUGAAAUGUGUAGAGAUCGGGAGGAACACCGGUGGCGAAGGCGGGUCUCUGGGCAAUUCCUGACGCUGAGGCGCGAAAGCGUGGGGAGCAAACGGG